GAAAUGCGAUAAGUAGUGUGAAUUGCAGAAUUUAGCGAAUCAUCGAAUCUUUGAACGCACAUUGCACUCGCCAGUAUUCUGGCGAGCAUGCCUGUUCGAGCGUCAUUUCAACCAUCAAGCUCUGCUUGCGUUGGGGAUCCGCGGCUGCCCGCGGUCCCUCAAAAACAGUGGCGGGCUCGCUAGUCACACCGAGCGUAGUAACUCUACAUCGCUAUGGUCGUGCGGCGGGUUCUUGCCGUAAAACCCCCAAUUUCUAAGGUUGACCUCGGAUCAGGUAGGAAUACCCGCUGAACUUAAGC
rnacentral:misc_RNA from 1 species